UACGUAGGUGACCAGCGUUGUCCGGAUUUACUGGGCGUAAAGAGCGCGCAGGCGGUCGUUCAAGUCGAGUGUGAAAGCCCCCGGCUCAACUGGGGAGGGUCAUUCGAUACUGAUCGACUGGAAGGCAGGAGAGGGAAGCGGAAUUCCCGGUGUAGUGGUGAAAUGCGUAGAUAUCGGGGAGGAACACCAGUGGCGAAGGCGGCUUCCUGGCCUGUUCUUGACGCUGAGGCGCGAAAGCUAGGGGAGCAAACGGG
rnacentral:rRNA from 1 species